rnacentral:rRNA from 1 species
UACAGAGGGUGCAAGCGUUGUUCGGAAUUAUUGGGCGUAAAGGGCGCGUAGGCGGUGCGGUAAGUCACCUGUGAAACCUCUGGGCUUAACUCAGAGCCUGCAGGCGAAACUGCCGUGCUUGAGUGUGGGAGAGGUGCGUGGAAUUCUCGGUGUAGCGGUGAAAUGCGUAGAUAUCGAGAGGAACACCUGCGGCGAAGGCGGGUUGCUGGGCUGACACUGACGCUGACAGCGCGAAAGCUAGGGGAGCGAACGGG